rnacentral:rRNA from 1 species
UACGUAGGGUGCGAGCGUUAAUCGGAAUUACUGGGCGUAAAGCGUGCGCAGGCGGUUCGUUGUGUCGGCGGUGAAAGCCCCGGGCUUAACCUGGGAAUGGCCGUUGAAACUGGCGAACUGGAGUGUGGCAGAGGGGGUGGAAUUCCGAGUGUAGAGGUGAAAUUCGUAGAUAUUCGGAAGAACACCAGUGGCGAAGGCGACUUACUGGACACAUAUUGACGCUGAGGUGCGAAAGCGUGGGGAGCAACAGG